rnacentral:rRNA from 1 species
UACGGAGGGUGCAAACGUUGCUCGGAAUUACUGGGCGUAAAGCGCGUGUAGGCGGGCCGGAAAGUCGGGCGUGAAAGCCCUGGGCUCAACCCAGGAACUGCACUCGAAACUUCCGGUCUAGAGUGGUGGAGAGGGAAGUGGAAUUCCUGGUGUAGAGGUGAAAUUCGUAGAUAUCAGGAGGAACACCAGUGGCGAAGGCGGCUUCCUGGACACCAACUGACGCUGAGACGCGAAAGCGUGGGGAGCAAACAGG